ACAAUGGAGAGUUUGAUCCUGGCUCAGGACGAACGCUGGCGGCGUGCUUAACACAUGCAAGUCAAGGAGAACGUAUUCUUCGGAAUACUAUUAAACUGGCGAACGGGUGAGUAACGCGUAGGCAACCUGCCCUAGAGACGGGGAUAACUUCGGGAAACCGGGGCUAAUACCGGAUAAUGCAGCGGAUCCUUCGGGAUACAGUUGUUAAAGCGGGCUUCGGCUCGCACUUUAGGAUGGGCCUGCGUCCGAUUAGCUUGUUGGUAAGGUAAUGGCUUACCAAGGCGAUGAUCGGUAGCUGGUCUGAGAGGAUGAUCAGCCACACUGGGAUUGAGAUACGGCCCAGACUCCUACGGGAGGCAGCAGUGGGGAAUUUUGCGCAAUGGG
rnacentral:rRNA from 1 species